rnacentral:tRNA from 1 species
GCCUGAGUAGCUCAGUCAGUUGGGUGCCUGAGUCUUGAUUUGGGCUCAGGUCACGAUCUCAGGGUUCGUGGGUUCGAGCCCCGCGUCAGGCU